rnacentral:rRNA from 1 species
GAUGAACGCUGGCGGCGUGCCUAAUACAUGCAAGUCGAGCGAACAGACCCGGAGCUUGCUCCUCUGACUUUAGCGGCGGACGGGUGAGUAACACGUGGAUAACCUACCUAUAAGACUGGGAUAACUUUGGGAAACCGGAGCUAAUACCGGAUAAGAUAUUGAACCGCAUGGUUCAAUGAUGAAAGACGGUGUUGGUUUCAGUUAUAGAUUGAUCCCGGCGGCAUUAGGUAGGUUGGAAGGUAACGGCUUACCAAGGCGAGGAGGCAUAGCCGACCUGAGAGGGUGAUCGGCCACAUUGGGACUGAGACACGGUCCAGACUCCUACGGGAGGCAGCAGUAGGGAAUCUUCCGCAAUGGGCGAAAGUCUGACGGAGCAACGCCGCGUGAGUGAUGAAGGUUUUCGGAUCGUAAAACUCUGUUAUUAGAGAAGAACAAAUGUGUAAGUAACUAUGAACGUCUUGACGGUACCUAACCAGAAAGCCACGGCUAACUACGUG